UACAGAGGGGGCAAGCGUUGUUCGGAAUUACUGGGCGUAAAGGGCGCGUAGGCGGCCUGCUAAGUCGAACGUGAAAUCCCUGGGCUCAACCCAGGAACUGCGUCCGAUACUGGUUGGCUUGAAUCCGGGAGAGGUGCGUGGAAUUCCCGGUGUAGCGGUGAAAUGCGUAGGUAUCGGGAGGAACACCUGUGGCGAAAGCGGCGCACUGGACCACAACUGACGCUGAGGCGCGAAAGCUAGGGGAGCAAACAGG
rnacentral:rRNA from 1 species